UCCAGACUCCUACGGGAGGCAGCAGUGGGGGAUAUUGCACAAUGGGGGGAACCCUGAUGCAGCGACGCCGCGUGGGUGAAGGAGCGUUUCGGCGCGUAAAGCCCUCUCGGCAGGGAAGAAGGAGGACGGUACCUGACUAAGAAGCCCCGGCUAACUACGUGCCAGCAGCCGCGGUAAUACGUAGGGGGCAAGCGUUAUCCGGAUUUACUGGGUGUAAAGGGGGCGCAGACGGCAGCGCAAGCCAGGAGUGAAAGCCCGGGGCCCAACCCCGGGACUGCUCUUGGAACUGCGCGGCUGGAGUGCAGGAGGGGCAGGCGGAAUUCCUGGUGUAGCGGUGAAAUGCGUAGAUAUCAGGAGGAACACCGGUGGCGAAGGCGGCCUGCUGGACUGCGACUGACGUUGAGGCCCGAAAGCGUGGGGAGCAAACAGGAUUAGAUACCCCUGUAUA
rnacentral:rRNA from 1 species